UCCUCCCAUACUGGAAACGAUCCAAACUGUUCUGUGUUUAACGUCUUUUUGGGGCAAUUUGGUUUGAAAGAAACCCACAUUUCUGAUAUACCCCAACGACAACAGGAGGCUGAUUUUCCUGCAACACAUCUACCCGCUCAGCUAUCAGUGGUGUGGACUGAUACCAGUCUGCAUCAUUACACCCAGUCUCUGAGGUCAGACAAACAAGUCUGAGCUGUUUCAACUAUGAGGUGGCGGCAUUCCCCCCGUUUGACGGUUUUGCCGAGUUAAACAUUGGCUGCCUGGUAAAUGAUUGAGCCGACAGCGUUAAAUGAGGUCAAAGCAAAGUUCAGUGAGCUCAUGGUCCCGAUCAUGUUUACUGUGAGAUUAGUGUUCAGCUGAAACUGCCCACGAAACUCAGACCGGACUAUAAUGGUUAACAAAAGGCUUGGCAGCCAAAACGCCACACACAUUUUAAUUUCUUUUGGUGUCACACGGAUCACAGCUAAAUCUGAAACAGCAGUGAUAAGAUGAGUUCCAUGUACCUAGUUGUCAAGACAUCGAUUUUUUAUCAGAUGUAGACAUCCACUGCUGUGGAAUUAAUUGAAUAUGUCACUAAAAACAACUUCUUUGCCAGCCUUCAGGUCACAGUUAAAGAAGUUUAUAGAAAUUUAAA